CUGCCCAUCACUUGGGGAUAACCUUGCGAAAGUAAGACUAAUACCCAAUGAUAUCUCUAGAAGACAUCUGAAGGAGAUUAAAGAUUUAUCGGUGAUGGAUGGGGAUGCGUCUGAUUAGCUUGUUGGCGGGGUAACGGCCCACCAAGGCGACGAUCAGUAGGGGUUCUGAGAGGAAGGUCCCCCACAUUGGAACUGAGACACGGUCCAAACUCCUACGGGAGGCAGCAGUGAGGAAUAUUGGUCAAUGGGCGAGAGCCUGAACCAGCCAAGUAGCGUGCAGGAUGACGGCCCUAUGGGUUGUAAACUGCUUUUAUAAGGGAAUAAAGUGAGUCUCGUGAGACUUUUUGCAUGUACCUUAUGAAUAAGGACCGGCUAAUUCCGUGCCAGCAGCCGCGGUAAUACGGAAGGUCCGGGCGUUAUCCGGAUUUAUUGGGUUUAAAGGGAGCGUAGGCCGGAGAUUAAGCGUGUUGUGAAAUGUAGAUGCUCAACAUCUGCACUGCAGCGCGAACUGGUUUCCUUGAGUACGCACAAAGUGGGCGGAAUUCGUGGUGUAGCGGUGAAAUGCUUAGAUAUCACGAAGAACUCCGAUUGCGAAGGCAGCUCACUGGAGCGCAACUGACGCUGAAGCUCGAAAGUGCGGGUAUCGAACAGGAUUAGAUACCCUGGUAGUCCGCACGGUAAACGAUGGAUGCCCGCUGUUGG
rnacentral:rRNA from 1 species